AGAGUUUGAUCCUGGCUCAGGACGAACGCUGGCGGCGUGCUUAACACAUGCAAGUCGAACGAGACGAUUGAAAGCUUGCUUUUGAAAGUCGAGUGGCAAACGGGUGAGUAACGCGUAGACAACCUGCCGUAAAGAUGGGGACAACAGUCCGAAAGGACUGCUAAUACCGAAUGUUGUGGAACUCCCGCAUGGGAGCUCCACUAAAGAUGGCCUCUACUUGUAAGCUAUCGCUUUACGAUGGGUCUGCGUCUGAUUAGCUAGUUGGUGGGGUAACGGCCUACCAAGGCGACGAUCAGUAGCCGGUCUGAGAGGAUGAACGGCCACAUUGGAACUGAGACACGGUCCAGACUCCUACGGGAGGCAGCAGUGGGGAAUCUUCCGCAAUGGGCGCAAGCCUGACGGAGCAACGCCGCGUGAGUGAAGAAGGGUUUCGACUCGUAAAGCUCUGUUGUCGGGGACGAAUGUCAGGACUCAAAAUAUGGGUUCUGAAUGACGGUACCUGACGAGGAAGCCACGGCUAACUACGUGCCAGCAGCCGCGGUAAUACGUAGUGGCGAGCGUUGUCCGGAAUUAUUGGGCGUAAAGGGAGCGCAGCGGAGAUCAGUCNANCUUAAAAGUGCGGGCUCAACCCNNGAGGGGAUGGAAACUGGUNNUUCUUGAANUGCNG
rnacentral:rRNA from 1 species